GGAUCAUUAUUGAAAUUAUAGGCGAGGGUUGUAGCUGGCCUCUCGGGGCAUGUGCACGCCNGAGCCCUUAAUCCACACACACCUGUGAACCUAUUGUAAGGGCCCUUAAAAAAGGCCUUUACGUCUUAUCAUCAACCCAUCGUAUGUCUCAUAGAAUGUAAAUAUAUGUCCUCGCCUUAAAAAGCGUUGAUAAACUUAUACAACUUUCAACAACGGAUCUCUUGGCUCUCGCAUCGAUGAAGAACGCAGCGAAAUGCGAUAAGUAAUGUGAAUUGCAGAUUUUCAGUGAAUCAUCGAAUCUUUGAACGCACCUUGCGCUCCUUGGUAUUCCGAGGAGCAUGCCUGUUUGAGUGUCAUUAAAUUCUCAACUCCGAUCGAUUUGUUUCGACUUCGGAGCUUGGAUUUGGAGCGUGCUGGCGUCGGUCGGCUCCUCUUAAAUGCAUCAGCGGAAUCUAACGUUUCGGAUGUCAGUGUGAUAAUCAUGUUGCGCUGUCUGUCUGAUCCGAAAGCCCGCUCAC
rnacentral:rRNA from 1 species